rnacentral:rRNA from 1 species
UACGAAGGUCCCAAGCGUUGUUCGGAAUCACUGGGCGUAAAGGGAGCGUAGGCGGCGUGGUAAGUCAGAUGUGAAAUCCCGGGGCUCAACCCCGGAACUGCAUCCGAUACUGCCAUGCUAGAGGAUUGGAGAGGUAGCUGGAAUUCUUGGUGUAGCAGUGAAAUGCGUAGAUAUCGAGAGGAACACCUGCGGCGAAGGCGGGUUGCUGGGCUGACACUGACGCUGAGGCGCGAAAGCUAGGGGAGCGAACGGG